UCUCCUACAGGGCGCAGCAGUGGGGAAUAUUGCACAAUGGGGGGAACCCUGAUGCAGCAAUGCCGCGUGGGUGAAGGAGCACUCCGGUGCGUAAAGCCCUGUCAGCAGGGAAGAAAAUGACAGUACCUGGACAAGAAGCCCCGGCUAACUACGUGCCAGCAGCCGCGGUAAUACGUAGGGGGCAAGCGUUAUCCGGAUUUACUGGGUGUAAAGGGAGCGCAGGCGGCGUGGCAAGUCAGAUGUGAAAGCCCGGGGCUCAACCCCGGUACUGCAUUUGAAACUGUCCAGCUGGAGUGCAGGAGAGG
rnacentral:rRNA from 1 species